rnacentral:lncRNA from 1 species
GCUUGAAAUAAAGCGAGAUUUCAAAAAUCUUUUUUUUACAACCCGGAAAAUCUUGAUUAUUGUUCUUUUGCCGUAAAAAGUUAAGAGCAUUCACUUAGGGUGAGUAAGAAAUAAGUUGGGGAGAACGAAAAUGAGAAUCAGUAAGUGCCACAACUCUUGAAAAACCGAGUAAGCAUUGAAAAUAAAAAUUAGAAAAGAAAAACAUCUGUUUUGUAAAUAUGAUGUGAAAGAAAAGAGAAAAAAAUAUAAUAUAGAGAAAAUAAAAAUGAAUGCUUGCUUGGAAGAAAAAUAGUGAAAAACAAAAAUUGAGUUGUGAAAUAAGAGUUGUGAAGGUUUCAAAUGAGAAAUAAAUGGAACGAAGUUGAGAUGUGUGAAUAAUGUACAGUGAAUGUCUCUUUUGCAUCGGCAAUUUCGUUUUCAAUGGCCUUAGAAAUGAC